GACGAACGCUGGCGGCGUGCCUAAUACAUGCAAGUCGAACGAGAGCGACCGGUGCUUGCACUGGUCAAUCUAGUGGCGAACGGGUGAGUAACACGUGGGUAACCUGCCCAUCAGAGGGGGAUAACAUUCGAAACGGAUGCUAAAACCGCAUAGGUCUUCGAACCGCAUGGUUUGAAGAGGAAAAGAGGCGCAAGCUUCUGCUGAUGGAUGGACCCGCGGUGCAUUAGCUAGUUGGUGAGGUAACGGCUCACCAAGGCCGUGAUGCAUAGCCGACCUGAGAGGGUGAUCGGCCACAUUGGGACUGAGACACGGCCCAAACUCCUACGGGAGGCAGCAGUAGGGAAUCUUCCGCAAAGGACGCAAGUCUGACGGAGCAACGCCGCGUGAGUGAAGAAGGUUUUCGGAUCGUAAAACUCUGUUGUUAGAGAAGAACAAGUGCUAGAGUAACUGUUAGCGCCUUGACGGUAUCUAACCAGAAAGCCACGGCUAACUACGUG
rnacentral:rRNA from 1 species